UCAAAUUUGAAAUCUGGCACCUUCGGUGUCCGAGUUGUAAUUUGAAGAAGGUAACUUUGGAGUCAGCUCUUGUCUAUGUUCCUUGGAACAGGACGUCACAGAGGGUGAGAAUCCCGUGCGAUGAGAUGUCUGAUUCUAUGUAAAGUGCUUUCGAAGAGUCGAGUUGUUUGGGAAUGCAGCUCUAAGUGGGUGGUAAAUUCCAUCUAAAGCUAAAUAUUGGCGAGAGACCGAUAGCGAACAAGUACAGUGAUGGAAAGAUGAAAAGAACUUUGAAAAGAGAGUGAAAAAGUACGUGAAAUUGUUGAAAGGGAAGGGUUUGAGAUCAGACUUGGUAUUUUGUAUGUCUUGCUUUCGGGUGGGGCCUCUACAGUUUACUGGGCCAGCAUCGGUUUGGACGGUAGGAUAAUGACAUUGGAAUGUGGCACCACUUCGGUGGUGUGUUAUAGACUUUGUUGAUACUGC
rnacentral:rRNA from 1 species